rnacentral:lncRNA from 7 species
ACCCCCAUUUUACCCGAAAAUCAUGCAUUUUCCCUUCCAAAAUACCCCAUUUAACAAAAAUCACACAUUUUCUCUUUCAGAAUCCCUGAUUUAAACUGAAAAUCACGCAUAUUCUCUCAAAACUUCUGUUUAAACCAAAAUUGCGCGUUUUCUCUCAACAAUCCCCGUUUAACCCCAAAAUCACGCAUUUUCUCUUGGAAAACCCCCCAUUUAACUCAAAAACCUCACCUUUUCUCUUGGAAAAUACGCAUUUACCCCAAAUCAUGCAUUUUCUCUCCAAAAAUACCCCAUUAACCCCAAAAGCACACAUUUUCUCUUGCAAAUCCCGCAUUUUCCACAAAAUCUUGCAUUUUCUCUCCAAAAAUACCCCAUUAUCCCAAAAAUCACACAUUUUCUCUUUCAGAAUCCCUGAUUUAAACUGAAAAUCACGCAUAUUCUCUUCAAAACUUGCUGUUUAAACCAAAAAUUGCGCGUUUCUCUUCAACAAUCCCCCGUUUAACCCCAAAAUCACGCAUUUUCUCUUGGAAAACCCCCCAUUUAACUCAAAAACCUCACCUUUUCUCUUGGAAAAUACGUCUGCAUUUACCACCCCAACAACAAUCUGCAUUUUCCUCAUCCAAAAUACCCCACCAUUA